UACGAAGGGGGCUAGCGUUGCUCGGAAUUACUGGGCGUAAAGGGCGCGUAGGCGGAUAUUUAAGUUAGAGGUGAAAGCCCAGGGCUCAACCCUGGAAUAGCCUUUAAUACUGGAUAUCUUGAGUUCGGGAGAGGUGAGUGGAAUGCCGAGUGUAGAGGUGAAAUUCGUAGAUAUUCGGCGGAACACCAGUGGCGAAGGCGACUCACUGGCCCGAUACUGACGCUGAUGCGCGAAAGCGUGGGGGAGCAAACAGG
rnacentral:rRNA from 1 species